rnacentral:rRNA from 1 species
GAUCAGUAGCCGACCUGAGAGGGUGACCGGCCACAUUGGGACUGAGACACGGCCCAAACUCCUACGGGAGGCAGCAGUGGGGAAUAUUGCACAAUGGGGGAAACCCUGAUGCAGCGACGCCGCGUGAGCGAUGAAGUAUUUCGAUAUGUAAAGCUCUAUCAGCAGGGAAGAAAAUGACGGUACCUGACUAAGAAGCACCGGCUAAAUACGUGCCAGCAGCCGCGGUAAU